UACAGAGGUCUCAACCGUUGUUCGGAUUCAUUGGGCGUAAAGAGUGCGUAGGUGGUUUAGUAAGUUGGAAGUGAAAGCCCGGGGCUUAACCUCGGAAUAGCUUUCAAAACUACUAAUCUAGAGUGUAGUAGGGGAUGAUGGAAUUCCUAGUGUAGAGGUGAAAUUCUUAGAUAUUAGGAGGAACACCGGUGGCGAAGGCGGUCAUCUGGGCUACAACUGACACUGAUGCACGAAAGCGUGGGGAGCAAACAGG
rnacentral:rRNA from 1 species